GCUCAAAGGCCACGGGAAGCACUGGAUCGAGGAGCUCCAGCCCGUGCAGUGGUCGGUCAUGUAACAUCCCAAAAUUUCAAAUUCUUACAUGUGCAUUGCAUCCAUAAGUAUCAUGCCAUAAUUGCAUGUUUGAAUUCAAAUUUGAAUCUCAAAAGGCUUUUAAAAGGUUUUUAUUUCAAUUUAAACCCUAGGGUUUUCACCCAUUUGAGCUUUGGAUAUUCAAAUCAAUAAGGUUUACUUAUAAAAGGGGUUUAUUGCAUAUAUAAGCUAUCUCAUAAUUUUUGGAUAAUUAUUUGGAGUUGAAAACGUAUUUUAUUUAAAUAGUUAUAUAGCCCUAAAGGCAUUUAUAGGGCAAAUGUAUUUUUAGAUAUUUUAUUUUGAGGGGAAAUUACUCCCAAAAGUUGAACCAUGAUAGAACAUGAUUUUACAAAUUUUCUGGAAUUUAUUUGGACCAUUUUGGAGUUUAAAAUCAAAAGAUAUCAAAGAAAUAAGAAUAACAGAAAAAGAAAAGGGCUAAAAGAAAAAAAAGGGGAAAACGGGACGAGCCCGGCCGUUUUGGGUCGAACCGGCCCCGUCCCAACCGCGCCCGAGCCAAACCAACCGGACCCGUCCCCGCGCGCGCCGACGCUGAC
rnacentral:lncRNA from 1 species